UACGAAGGGGGCUAGCGUUGCUCGGAAUCACUGGGCGUAAAGGGUGCGUAGGCGGGCCUUUAAGUCAGGGGUGAAAUCCUGGAGCUCAACUCCAGAACUGCCUUUGAUACUGAGGAUCUUGAGUUCGGGAGAGGUGAGUGGAACUGCGAGUGUAGAGGUGAAAUUCGUAGAUAUUGGGAAGAACACCGGUGGCGAAGGCGGCUCUCUGGACCGAUACUGACGCUGAGGCGCGAAAGCGUGGGGAGCAAACAGG
rnacentral:rRNA from 1 species